AGCGAACGCUGGCGGCAGGCCUAACACAUGCAAGUCGAACGAACCCUUCGGGGUUAGUGGCGGACGGGUGAGUAACACGUGGGAACGUGCCUUUAGGUUCGGAAUAACUCAGGGAAACUUGUGCUAAUACCGAAUGUGCCCUUCGGGGGAAAGAUUUAUCGCCUUUAGAGCGGCCCGCGUCUGAUUAGCUAGUUGGUGAGGUAAAGGCUCACCAAGGCGACGAUCAGUAGCUGGUCUGAGAGGAUGAUCAGCCACAUUGGGACUGAGACACGGCCCAAACUCCUACGGGAGGCAGCAGUGGGGAAUCUUGCGCAAUGGGCGAAAGCUUGACGCAGCCAUGCCGCGUGAAUGAUGAAGGUCUUAGGAUUGUAAAAUUCUUUCACCGGGGACGAUAAUGACGGUACCCGGAGAAGAAGCCCCGGCUAACUUCGUGCCAGCCGCCGCCGUAACAC
rnacentral:rRNA from 1 species